CUAGGAGAACCGAAAACAGUUCUAGACUGACCUGCGGUUUUAUAGCACUUUGGCAGUCAACUUCAGCUUGUGUCAGAGCAGACACGACAGAGCUGCCCGACGGUUAAUCGCGGGACGCCACCUACUUGGACUCACUGCAGUUCCCCCUCUUGCAUUAAAUAAAUUUCAAACCUUGGGGAUAGAAAUGGGGAGCAAAGCUGGUGAAGGU
ensembl:misc_RNA